GCACUUGCCAUUACUUUUCAAAAUCAAAUUCUCUUAAAUGUAAAUUAAAACGUACCACGUACCGUUGUUUGACACUCAUCGUCGUCGUCACUACACAUUUCUUUGCCAGCACAGACGCCACCACACAGCCAAUCGCCGUGGUGGCGGUCGUGGGGAAGAUGUCGGUUUAGUGCGUUAGCCAACGGCUUUGUUUAUUAUUGCAUUGCUUUGCAAUUUUUUUCGUUUAUUUUUUGUUGCUUGCGGAUUUUAAUUGUUUAUUGUUUUAUUCUCGUUCAUUUCGUUUGAAUGCCACCAGCGAUUACCAAUCCGCAACAAGUGAGAAAUGUAAAUAGUAUUUAUAAUGCGAAAAGAACAAAGGAAAUUUAAGAACAAAAACAAUAACACAAAUCAGAAAAGUGCAUCAACAACAACAAUAAACAGAGAAACAAAUAUUUGUGCGGAAUUGCAAAGAAAAUUAUGAUGAAGGUUUUAAAUUUCAAAACAAAACAUAAGAGUAGUAUAAUCGCAAUAAAUGGUGGAAACUUAGUAGGGGAGAGAAAGAGGCGAAAGGAAAAAGUUGCUGUUAUACUAACAACUUAACUGCCAGCCAGCUCCAUUUUCUCAUCAUCCCCAAACAACAGUGCUACAGCAGUUGAAGAGCUCACUAACGGCAUCUACGUGUACUCGCAUAUUCAAACAUAAACAAUAACUUUUAAGUAGCUCAGCAACAGCGUGCAAAUGCACUAUGCGGUACCUAACAGCGGCAACAACAUUAGAUACUACAUUGAGCAUAGAGUGGGGAAGCACAAGCCAAAGCGCCAACACUAAAAAUAACAAACGAUUUUUUUUUUUUGAAAAUAACGGAUGUAACAUGAUACUUUUGAAUGCUUUUUUACAUUUCUUUCGUUUUUCUUUAUUUUUAUUUUCAUAAAUUUUUACGCCACCCUAACUUUCUGUAUACACAUGCAUGUGUACAUACAUAUUAAACAGAAAUAUUUCGCAGAAGUGAGUGAGCGGUAGUCUGAUAGUCAGUGCGCCCCCUCCUUGCAUUGUCUUCGUGCUUUUUAUUUAGUUAACAGCAAUGGUGUUUAAUGCGAUUUGAAGUGCAGUCAAUAGAUGAAAAAGUUGAGAAAACAAAAAAACGUAAAGAGAGAUCAAAACAACAAUAACAAUAACUAGUGAGGGGCGUGGAUUGUGGUCGGGAGUGGGUGGCUGGAGUGGUGGGAAUGGGGGUGGAGUAUUGAUAAGCAAUAGCUGGAAUAAAUCAACAGUGAGAUUGAAAGCACUUUGAGAUAAAAAAAAUUGGAACAUAAAAAAGUCGAAGUAAAAACGAAGUGUAAGCACAAGUAAAUACAACAAUAAUUGAGAAGAGCAACCGAAGUAUCAGUACUACGAAAACCCAAUGUUGCUUUUGUUUUCUGCUGGUGGUAGUGCAAUAUCGCCAACAUACAUACAUGCAUACACAUGUAUAAACUGGAAAACCAUUCAGUGGAAUCACAGCAACAAAGGCAAUACGAUAAAAGAGAUUAACUAAUAGGAAAAUAGUAAUGCCAGUUAGCAAUGGCAAUGACAUUUGUAAAGUGCGCGUCCAAAAAGAGUGCAACAUAUGAUUGAAAAUACAUAUGUAUAAGAAAAUGAGAAUAGCAAAUGACAAAUAACAAAAGAAAAAGUUUAGACAUUUGUUUUCAAGUUUAUUUUUUUCCUUUAAUAUGUAAUUUGAUCCUUUGGACACACUCGCUGCACCAUUCGCUUAUGACCAUUAUAAUAUAAUGAUGGCGACCAGAUCGGUGGCAACAGCAACAACGUGUGGUCUGGACUGCGGUUAAUAUUGUGUGGUGGGUUUUUGGAGGUGACGUGCUAUACAUAUUUUUAUGCAUAUGUACAUACAUAUAUAUGUAUGUGUAUAUGUAUGCACACAUGUACAAAUAACAUAGUUGUAGUCUUUUGGACUGAAACUCGUAUUGCGCCACUUUGGAAGAAGGAAGACUUUGUGGCAUUUGGUGCUUACAUAAGGAUGUAUGUAUGAAUGUAACGGGUAUUUUUUUAAGAGCUUGAGCACAGAAAUAUUGUUAAAAUAAUAAUAAACUUAAACUUUAAAUAAUAAUAAAU